rnacentral:rRNA from 1 species
GACGACGCUGGCGGCGUGCUUAACACAUGCAAGUCGAACGAGUGGGGAAGGGGUGAGAAAUGUAUGUGGAUAUGCCCGAUAGAGGGGGAUAAAUACUCGAAACGGUGGAUAAUACCGCAUACUAUCGGAUGAACCCAUAUGGGAUUAGCUCGUAGGUGGGGUAAAGGGUCACCUAGGCGACGCUCUCUAGCUGGUCUGCGAGGAUGAUCAGCCACACUGGAACUGAGACACGGCCCAGACUCCUACGGGAGGCAGCAGUGGGGAAGAUUGCACAAUGGGCGCAAGCCUGAUGCAGCCAUGCCGCGUGUAUGAAGAAGGCCUUAGGGUUGUAAAGUACUUUCAGCGGGGAGGCGUUACCCGCAGAAGAAGCACCGGCUAACUCCGUGCCAGCAGCCGCGGUAAUUC